rnacentral:rRNA from 1 species
GCGUGGGUAACCUGCCUCAUACAGGGGGAUAACAGUUGGAAACGACUGCUAAUACCGCAUAAGCGCACAGUACCGCAUGGUACCGUGUGAAAAACUCCGGUGGUAUGAGAUGGACCCGCGUCUGAUUAGCUAGUUGGUGGGGUAACGGCCUACCAAGGCGACGAUCAGUAGCCGACCUGAGAGGGUGACCGGCCACAUUGGGACUGAGACACGGCCCAAACUCCUACGGGAGGCAGCAGUGGGGAAUAUUGCACAAUGGGGGAAACCCUGAUGCAGCAACGCCGCGUGAGUGAAGAAGUAUUUCGGUAUGUAAAGCUCUAUCAGCAGGGAAGAAAAUGACGGUACCUGACUAAGAAGCCCCGGCUAACUACGUGCCAGCAGCCGCGGUAAUACGUAGGGGGCAAGCGUUAUCCGGAUUUACUGGGUGUAAAGGGAGCGUAGACGGCGAGACAAGUCUGAAGUGAAAACCCGGGGCUCAACCCCGGGACUGCUUUGGAAACUGCCUUGCUAGAGUGCUGGAGAGGUAAGUGGAAUUCCUAGUGUAGCGGUGAAAUGCGUAGAUAUUAGGAGGAACACCAGUGGCGAAGGCGGCUUACUGGACAGUAACUGACGUUGAGGCUCGAA